GAUGAACGCUAGCUACAGGCUUAACACAUGCAAGUCGCAGGGUAACAUGAGGAAAGCUUGCUUUCCUUGAUGACGACUGGCGCACGGGUGAGUAACGCGUAUCCAACCUUCCCAUAACUACGGGAUAACCCGUUGAAAGACGGCCUAAUACCGUAUGAUAUCGUUUGCUGACAUCAAAUAACGAUUAAAGGUUUAGCGGUUAUGGAUGGGGAUGCGUCUGAUUAGCUUGUUGGCGGGGUAACGGCCCACCAAGGCGACGAUCAGUAGGGGUUCUGAGAGGAAGGUCCCCCACAUGGGAACUGAGACACGGUCCAAACUCCUACGGGAGGCAGCAGUGAGGAAUAUUGGUCAAUGGGCGAGAGCCUGAACCAGCCAAGUAGCGUGCAGGAUGACGGCCCUAUGGGUUGUAAACUGCUUUUAUGUGGGGAUAAAGUGCGUGACGUGUCAUGCAUUGCAGGUACCACAUGAAUAAGGACCGGCUAAUUCCGUG
rnacentral:rRNA from 1 species